rnacentral:rRNA from 1 species
GACGAACGCUGGCGGCGUGCUUAACACAUGCAAGUCGAACGGAAAGGCCCUGCUUUUGUGGGGUGCUCGAGUGGCGAACGGGUGAGUAACACGUGAGUAACCUGCCCUUGACUUUGGGAUAACUUCAGGAAACUGGGGCUAAUACCGGAUAGGAGCUCCUGCUGCAUGGUGGGGGUUGGAAAGUUUCGGCGGUUGGGGAUGGACUCGCGGCUUAUCAGCUUGUUGGUGGGGUAGUGGCUUACCAAGGCUUUGACGGGUAGCCGGCCUGAGAGGGUGACCGGCCACAUUGGGACUGGGAUACGGCCCAGACCCCUACGGGAGGCAGCAGUGGGGAAUAUUGCACAAUGGGCGGAAGCCGGAUGCAGCACCCCCGGGGGGGGGAUGACGGCCUUCGGGUUGUAAACCGCUUUCGCCUGUGACGAAGCGGGAGGGACGGUAAUGGGUAAAGAAGCACCGGCUAACUACGU